rnacentral:rRNA from 1 species
GUGCCAGCAGCCGCGGUAAUUCCACGUCUCCAGAUAGCGUAUAUUAAAGUUGUUGUGGUUAAAAAGCUCGUAGUUGAACCUUGGGCCUGGCUGGCCGGUCCGCCUCACCGCGUGCACUGGUCCGGCCGGGCCUUUCCCUCUGUGGAACCCCAUACCCUUCACUGGGCGUGGCGGGGAAACAGGACAUUUACUUUGAAAAAAUUAGAGUGCUCCAGGCAGGCCUAUGCUCGAAUACAUUAGCAUGGAAUAAUAAAAUAGGACGCGCGGUUCUAUUUUGUUGGUUUAUAGGACCGCCGUAAUGAUUAAUAGGGACAGUCGGGGGCAUCAGUAUUCAACUGUCAGAGGUGAAAUUCUUGGAUCAGUUGAAGACUAACUACUGCGAAAGCAUUUUGCCAAGGAUGUUUUCAUUAAUCAGGAACGAAAGUUAGGGGAUCGAAGACGAUCAGAUACCGUCGUAGUCUUAACCAUAAACUAUGCCGACUAGGGAUCGGACGGUGUUAUUCAUGACCCGUUCGGCACCUUACGAGAAAUCAAAGUGCUUGGGCUCCAGGGGGAGUAUGGGUCGCAAGGCUGAAACUUAAAGAAAUUGACGGAAGGGCACCACCAGGGGUGGAGCCUGCGGCUUAAUUUGACUCAACACGGGAAACUCACCAGGUCCAGACACAAUAAGGGAUUGACAGAUUGAGAGCUCUUUCUUGAUUUUGUGGGUGGUGCUGCAUGGCCGUUCUUAGUUGUGGGGUGACUUGUCUGCUUAAUUGCGAUACGAACGAGACCUUAACCUGCUAAAUAGCCCGCAUUGCUCCGGCAGUGCGCUGGCUUCUUAGAGGGACUUUCGGCUCAAG